rnacentral:tRNA from 1 species
GUGGCCGUGGCGAAAUGGUUUAACGCGAGCGACUGUGAAUCGUUUAUUUGCGAGUUCGAAUCUCGUCGGUCACCCCA